AAAUAUAUUCAUGCAGAGAAUGGCCUAAGGCAAGAGCCGUAAAGACAAGCUAUGCAAAAGGAUGAGGCACUUGGUCAGGCACUGUCUGCUCCUGGCUGUUAAGAAGGCCAGGGCAGAGGCAAGCCCAGCUCAGGGAAUUCUCUGGGACUCCAGCUGCAUAAACAAUGCAUCAUGGGAGAAAGGCUGGAGCUUUAAGAUAAGACAGAACCCUGAGUUCCCAAUAGGAAAGAACCCUCCUUUUCCAGUGAUGAUUGUAGUAAGAUAAAUGAUUUAAUCUAAAACUGGAGGUAGAAAAUGAGAGUAAACCAGCAAGGAUAAUGACCUCAAUGACUGGAUUACAGGAAAAGCCAGCCUUUCACCAGAAGGAUGGAGUGUCUGAAAAAGUGAUUCAUGCUCUGAACCAGUGCCCAGUGAAUAAUAUGAGACCAAGUAUCAGCAUAUAAUUACCUAGUGGGUACAGAGCUGUUACCCCAGGUUCCCUUAGAUACUCUAAAAUAAUCUUUGCAAAUUUAAAACAAUUUACUUCACUGUGGAUUGAAAGAGGGAAAGAGGAAAGGCACCCAUGAAGCGUAAAUGUUUAUCUUUGAAAGAUUAAUUCUUCCUGACCAACAGAGGAGUAAGGCUGCCCAGGCUCAUGCCUGUGAAACGUGGGCACCCCUGGAAACCAAGUUUUAUCACAUGAUCCCAGAAAAAGUUUGAGUGUCUCAUCCAAAAGCACCUAAUGGCUAUUUUGGGGGAUACAGACUAUGAGACUAUGGGCAGAGCACUAUGCCUGGAAAACACAAAAAGAAGAAAAUAAAAUCCUGCUCUUGAAGAGGCAAUGAUGUAAGGGUUGAGUCAAAUAUGUUUAAUAGAAAUGCAUUAUGCCUUUCUAUCAUAAGGUGACUAUCCUUUUUUUUUUUUUUUUUUUGAGAUGAAGUUUCGCUUUUGUUGCCCAGGUUGGAGUGCAAUGGCGCGAUCUCGGCUCACUGCAACCUCUGCCUCCCAUUCAGUAAGCAGCAAUCUUCACUUGGGCUGGUGCUCUGAGAAUCCCUCCGUCUCUCUCCAGCUUUUAAUCCUUUAUUAAGGCCGUUUUUCACCAUUAUGAGAAUGAAUGGUUAUACAUUGUUCAAAAUAAAUGCCAUUUUAAAAUUA